rnacentral:rRNA from 1 species
AGCAGCCGCGGUAAUUCCAGCUCCAAUAGCGUAUAUUAAAGUUGUUGCAGUUAAAAAGCUCGUAGUUGAAUUUCGGGGUUAGUAGGUUGGUCAUGCCUCUGGUAUGUACUGGUCUCACUGAUUCCUCCUUCCUGAUGAACCUUAAUGCCAUUAAUUUGGUGUUUUGGGGAAUUUGGACUGUUACUUUGAAAAAAUUGAGUGUUUAAAGCAAGCUAACGCUUGAAUACAUUAGCAUGGAAUAAUGAAAUAGGACGUUCGAUCCUAUUUUGUUGGUUUCUAGGAUUGACGUAAUGAUUAAUAGGGAUAGUUGGGGGCAUUAGUAUUCAAUUGUCAGAGGUGAAAUUCUUGGAUUUAUUGAAGACUAACUACUGCGAAAGCAUUUGCCAAGGACGUUUUCAUUAAUCAAGACGAAAGUUAGGGAUCGAAGACGAUCAGAUACCGUCGUAGUCUUAACCAUAAACUAUGCCGACUAGGGAUCGGAUGAUGUUAAUUUUUAAUGACUCAUUCGGCGCCUUACGGG